CAGGCCUAACACAUGCAAGUCGGACGGUAGCACAGAAGAGCUUGCUCUUCGGGUGACGAGUGGCGGACGGGUGAGUAAUGUCUGGGGAUCUGCCCGAUGGAGGGGGAUAACCACUGGAAACGGUGGCUAAUACCGCAUAACGUCGCAAGACCAAAGUGGGGGACCUUCGGGCCUCACACCAUCGGAUGAACCCAGAUGGGAUUAGCUAGUAGGUGGGGUAACGGCUCACCUAGGCGACGAUCCCUAGCUGGUCUGAGAGGAUGACCAGCCACACUGGAACUGAGACACGGUCCAGACUCCUACGGGAGGCAGCAGUGGGGAAUAUUGCACAAUGGGCGCAAGCCUGAUGCAGCCAUGCCGCGUGUAUGAAGAAGGCCUUCGGGUUGUAAAGUACUUUCAGCGGGGAGGAAGGGAGAAUGGUUAAUAACCAUUUUCAUUGACGUUACCCGCAGAAGAAGCACCGGCUAACUCCGUGCCAGCAGCCGCGGUAAU
rnacentral:rRNA from 1 species